rfam:Dolosigranulum pigrum ATCC 51524 genomic scaffold supercont1.1, whole genome shotgun sequence.
UCCAUCGUGAGGUGGAAUCUGAAGGAAGUCAGAGGCAAACACCUGCACUGACGAACAGAAAUCUCAUAAAGAAGGCCGGAUAGGUGUGGAUAAGCUUGCAAUACAAAGUGAAGUCCAAUACUGUACGAGCACCGUCAGGUAAAUGAGGCAGUGACAUGGGUGGAAGGUUGUCGCU